GCGCCUGUUGUUUAGUGGUAGAAUGCUGGCUUCCCAAGCCAGCGAUCCGGGUUCGAUUCCCGGUAGGCGCA
rnacentral:tRNA from 1 species